GAUGAAGAACGCAGCAAAAUGCGAUAAGUAAUGUGAAUUGCAGAAUUCAGUGAAUCAUCGAAUCUUUGAACGCACAUUGCGCCCGCCAGUAUUCUGGCGGGCGUGCCUGUUCGAGCGUCAUUUCAACCCUCAAGCACAGCUUGGUGUUGGGACUCGCGUUAAUUCGCGUUCCUCAAAUUGAUUGGCGGUCACGUCGAGCUUCCAUAGCGUAGUAGUAAAACCCUCGUUACUGGUAAUCGUCGCGGCCACGCCGUUAAACCCCAACUUCUGAAUGUUGACCUCGGAUCAGGUAGGAAUACCCGCUGAACUUAAGCAUAUCAAUAAGCGGAGGA
rnacentral:misc_RNA from 1 species